rnacentral:piRNA from 1 species
AGGAAUGAUACUGGUAAUGAGGACAACCUC